GUGGGGAAUAUUGGACAAUGGGCGAAAGCCUGAUCCAGCCAUGCCGCGUGUGUGAAGAAGGUCUUCGGAUUGUAAAGCACUUUAAGUUGGGAGGAAGGGCAUUAACCUAAUACGUUAGUGUUUUGACGUUACCGACAGAAUAAGCACCGGCUAACUUCGUGCCAGCAGCCGCGGUAAUACGAAGGGUGCAAGCGUUAAUCGGAAUUACUGGGCGUAAAGCGCGCGUAGGUGGUUCGUUAAGUUGGAUGUGAAAGCCCCGGGCUCAACCUGGGAACUGCAUUCAAAACUGGCGAGCUAGAGUACGGUAGAGGGUGGUGGAAUUUCCUGUGUAGCGGUGAAAUGCGUAGAUAUAGGAAGGAACACCAGUGGCGAAGGCGACCACCUGGACUGAUACUGACACUGAGGUGCGAAAGCGUGGGGAGCAAACAGGAUUAGAAACCCUGGUAGUCC
rnacentral:rRNA from 1 species